rnacentral:miRNA from 1 species
UAGUGCAAUUUGAAAAGGGCAU